rnacentral:rRNA from 1 species
AGAGUUUGAUCCUGGCUCAGGACGAACGCUGGCGGCGCGCCUAACACAUGCAAGUCGAACGGAGUUGUGUUGAAAGCUUGCUGGAUAUACAACUUAGUGGCGGACGGGUGAGUAACACGUGAGUAACCUGCCUCUCAGAGUGGAAUAACAUUUGGAAACGAACGCUAAUACCGCAUAACGUGAGAAGAGGGCAUCCUCUUUUUAUCAAAGAUUUAUCGCUGAGAGAUGGGCUCGCGGCCGAUUAGGUAGUUGGUGAGAUAACAGCCCACCAAGCCGACGAUCGGUAGCCGACCUGAGAGGUUGAACGGCCACAUUGGGACUGAGAUACGGCCCAGACUCCUACGGGAGGCAGCAGUCGGGAAUAUUGCGCAAUGGAGGAAACUCUGACGCAGUGACGCCGCGUAUAGGAAGAAGGUUUUCGGAUUGUAAACUAUUGUCGUUAGGGAAGAGAAAGGACAGUACCUAAGGAGGAAGCUCCGGCUAACUACGUGCCAGCAGCCGCGGUAAUACGUAGGGAGCGAGCGUUAUCCGGAAUUAUUGGGUGUAAAGGGUGCGUAGACGGGAAGAUAAGUUAGUUGUGAAAUCCCUCGGCUUAACUGAGGAACUGCAACUAAAACUGUUUUUCUUGAGUGCAGGAGAGGUAAGUGGAAUUCCUAGUGUAGCGGUGAAAUGCGUAGAUAUUAGGAGGAACACCAGUGGCGAAGGCGACUUACUGGACUGUAACUGACGUUGAGGCACGAAAGUGUGGGGAGCAAACAGGAUUAGAUACCCUGGUAGUCCACACCGUAAACGAUGGAUACUAGGUGUAGGAGAUAUUAAGUCUUCUGUGCCGUCGCAAACGCAGUAAGUAUCCCACCUGGGGAGUACGGCCGCAAGGUUGAAACUCAAAGGAAUUGACGGGGGCCCGCACAAGCAGUGGAGUAUGUGGUUUAAUUCGAAGCAACGCGAAGAACCUUACCAGGUCUUGACAUCCACUUAAACUUACAGAGAUGUAAGGUGUGCUUGCACAAAGUGAGACAGGUGGUGCAUGGUUGUCGUCAGCUCGUGUCGUGAGAUGUUGGGUUAAGUCCCGCAACGAGCGCAACCCUUAUCUUCAGUUACUAACGCGUAGAGGUGAGGACUCUGAAGAGACUGCCGGGGACAACUCGGAGGAAGGUGGGGACGACGUCAAAUCAUCAUGCCCCUUAUGACCUGGGCUACACACGUGCUACAAUGGCCACGACAGAGAGAAGCGAAAUCGCAAGGUAGAGCGGAACUCAAAAAAGUGGUCCCAGUUCGGAUUGUGGGCUGCAACCCGCCCACAUGAAGUCGGAGUUGCUAGUAAUCGCGGAUCAGCAUGCCGCGGUGAAUACGUUCCCGGGCCUUGCACACAACGCCCGUCA